rnacentral:lncRNA from 1 species
UUCUCUUCCAUUCAUUCCUCCCCCACCGGGGGGGGGGGGCAUUCCCUCUUCCCCCACCGAGGGUUGCUCCCAUCAUCUCUCGGAGGCCACAUCCCACGGGAAGAAGAAGAGGAAACAGGGGAGGGAGUGAGCCACGGGAACACGAGAGAAUAAAAAAAUAAGAGGAGAGAGAAGAGUUUUGUUAUUUUGGGAAUAUUUCAAAGAAAGAAAUCAUGAAGGAAGAGAUGGGAGCCUGCUGCUGUGCUGCUGCUGCCGUCUCCAACUCCAUGCAGGGCUGAUCUCUUCUCCAGGGCCGGAUGUAGCCCUAACAAAGGGCCAAGGGUUUUUAUAUUUUUAAUUUCUAUUCNNN